AGCCAGUAGAAGAAAGGUAGAAUCCUCUCAGAAAGAUCCUCUUGUGAAAUGCUUCUCACAAAAAAUCAGCCAGUAGAAGAAAGGUAGAAUCCUCUCAGAAAGAUCCUCUUGUGAAAUGCUCCUCACAAAAAAUCAGCCAGUAGAAGAAAGGUCCUCUCAGGAAAAUCCUCUUGUGAAAUGCAUCUCACAAAAAAUCAGCCAGUAGAAGAAAGGUAGAAUCCUCUCAGGAAAAUCCUCUUGUGAAAUGCUCCUCACAAAAAAUCAGCCAGGUAGAAUCCUCUCAGAAAAAUCCUCUUGUGAAAUGCUCCUCGCAAAAAAUCAGCC
rnacentral:sRNA from 1 species